rnacentral:rRNA from 1 species
AACGUAGGGGGCGAGCGUUAUCCGGAAUCACUGGGCGUAAAGGGCAUCUAGGCGGUGCAUUAAGUCCUGCGUGAAAGCUCCUGGCUCAACUGGGAGAGCGCGUGGGAGACUGGUGCGCUAGAGACUCGGAGAGGGGUGUGGAAUUCCCGGUGGAGUGGUGAAAUGCGUUGAGAUCGGGAGGAACACCAGUGGCGAAGGCGGCACCCUGGCCGAGUUCUGACGCUGAAGUGCGACAGCGUGGGGAGCAAACGGG